AAAUUGCCAACCCCGUUCAUACACUUGCUCACUGCAUUUAAAAAAGAACCUGUUCACUAUCUAGACCGCCCAUCAUCUAAUCCUCUAAUGAAAGCCAAUCUCCAGCUCACCGUGUGUCCCCCAUUCCCUUGUCCCUUGAGAGCUCAGAACAUGAGAGAGUCUCCCCCUCCUUUUGUCAUUCACCCCCACGCCGGAACUGAUGUGCCACAAUGUAAGCCACCCCCACUCUCUUAGGAAAUACUUUUCAUUUUCCAGCCUUCGGGGUGUGUUCCACUGCUCCUCCUCCCCAACACCUUGCCUUCUGUUAGGAAAUAGCUUUCAUUUUCCACCUUUGAUUUCUCGAAAUUUGUGGUGUUGCUGGAGUCAAUUUUUAUGUUGAUUGGUUUAUGACCGGGGAGGUGUUGUUCGAGCUAGGAGGCUUUGAGAUUGUUAGGGGGGUAUUCAUCUCUUUGGCCCCCCAUACACACCCCACCCAGAUCUCAUCAAUACCUCGUCCAUGAUUGCAUCACUGAGAGCUGUAGGAAACAAGGCCCCUAGGAGUUGGUAUUUUCCAUAUGACUUUGCCGCUGCUGUGUGAUAAACCCCAAUUUUGUGGUUUAUCUUGUGCUUAAUUUGGGGGAUUUUAUCAACUUUUCUCACAUUUAUUCAAUGAAAUAGCAUGGUUUUGUAAUUC